AGAGUUGAUCAUGGCUCAGGAUGAACGCUAGCGACAGGCUAACACAUGCAAGUCGAGGGCAGCAUAAAAGUAGCAAUACUUGGUGGCGACCGGCGCACGGGUGAGUAACGCGUAUGCAACCUACCUAUCAGAGGGGAAUAACCCGGCGAAAGUCGGACUAAUACCGCAUAAAACAGGGGCACCGCAUGGUGAUAUUUGUUAAAGAAAUUCGCUGAUAGAUGGGCAUGCGUUCCAUUAGGUAGUUGGUGAGGUAACGGCUCACCAAGCCGACGAUGGAUAGGGGAACUGAGAGGUUGGUCCCCCACACUGGUACUGAGACACGGACCAGACUCCUACGGGAGGCAGCAGUGAGGAAUAUUGGUCAAUGGGCGAGAGCCUGAACCAGCCAAGUCGCGUGAAGGAAGAAGGAUCUAUGGUUCGUAAACUUCUUUUGCAGGGGAAUAAAGUGCAGGACGUGUCCUGUUUUGUAUGUACCCUGAGAAUAAGGAUCGGCUAACUCCGUGCCAGCAGCCGC
rnacentral:rRNA from 1 species